rnacentral:rRNA from 1 species
ACCAGACUCCUACGGGAGGCAGCAGUGGGGAAUAUUGCACAAUGGGGGAAACCCUGAUGCAGCGACGCCGCGUGAGCGAAGAAGUAUUUCGGUAUGUAAAGCUCUAUCAGCAGGGAAGAAAAUGACGGUACCUGACUAAGAAGCUCCGGCUAAAUACGUGCCAGCAGCCGCGGUAAUACGUAUGGAGCAAGCGUUAUCCGGAUUUACUGGGUGUAAAGGGAGCGUAGGCGGUAAGGCAAGUCUGAUGUGAAAGGCCAGGGCUCAACCCUGGGACUGCAUUGGAAACUGUUUAACUGGAGUGUCGGAGAGGCAAGUGGAAUUCCUAGUGUAGCGGUGAAAUGCGUAGAUAUUAGGAGGAACACCGGCGGCGAAGGCGGCCUGCUGGACCGUAACUGACGUUGAGGCUCGAAAGCGUGGGGAGCAAACAGGAUUAGAUACCCCCGUAA